rnacentral:rRNA from 1 species
GACGAACGCUGGCGGCGUGCUUAACACAUGCAAGUCGAACGGAAAGGCCCUGCUUUUGUGGGGUGCUCGAGUGGCGAACGGAUGAGUAACACGUGAGUAACCUGCCCUUGACUUUGGGAUAACUUCAGGAAACUGGGGCUAAUACCGGAUAUGAGCUCCUGCUGCAUGGUGGGGGUUGGAAAGUUUCGGCGGUUGGGGAUGGACUCGCGGCUUAUCAGCUUGUUGGUGGGGUAGUGGCUUACCAAGGCUUUGACGGGUAGCCGGCCUGAGAGGGUGACCGGCCACAUUGGGACUGAGAUACGGCCCAGACUCCUACGGGAGGCAGCAGUGGGGAAUAUUGCACAAUGGGCGGAAGCCUGAUGCAGCAACGCCGCGUGCGGGAUGACGGCCUUCGGGUUGUAAACCGCUUUCGCCUGUGACGAAGCGUGAGUGACGGUAAUGGGUAAAGAAGCACCGGCUAACUACGUG